rnacentral:ncRNA from 1 species
GAUAUGUCUCGGGAAUCCUUAUAGUAUCCAUGUCUUGUGUUCUAACACCUCCCAUAUAACAAGAGCCAUGUCUCGUGUACUAACACCUCCCAUAUAAGAAGAGCUAUGCAUAAUAUUUUAGGUUUGGAUGCCUUAGUGGGCCUGCAGUUCCAUGGCUUAAGUUUGUUAGACACUGGACACUUGCUAGAAGCAUAUUGCAUCAGAUUUUUGCCUGCAUGAGGAAUACAAUGACAUCCACUCUCAUUUUUCUCCAUGGUAGGGAGCUCAAAAAUGUUGUCGAUCUGUUAGGUUUUUAUGCCCUGAGGAGCAAUUGGCCAAGAAUCCCCGAAAUGGUUUGGGAUGCGAAUUUCAUAGAGGAAAGUUAAAAAAUAUUUUAGAAUCAGUGAUUGAUUUUAGGCUUAUAGUUGAUGGGAGUUUUGUAGAGUAUGGGGACAAGAUUGUUGGAUUCUCUCAUGUAUUUGACCUUGUUGUUACUCUUUCUCUAGGUUUCUCUCAAAAAUAGGGAGGCGACCCUAUUGAGGUUGUUGAUUUAGUUCCCAGAUGUUUUGAGAUGCAUGGGAGAGAUGCCCAUAAUCAUAGCUUGAAUACAACCCCACUUGGUUUUUUUAUUAUACCACAAGAUUGAUAUUUCAGGAUAGGCAGAAUUUGUGCAGUUGUCUACAUUUGUGAUUUUGAUAUAUCUGAUCCACUUGUAUUGUCUUGUAGUAGAUGUCAUUAUUUUUACAUGACGUCCUGAAUAGUUCAUGGCAUGGUGUCCAAAUACUUUGACUUGUUAUGUUGUCAGGCUUGAGGUAUUAUAGAUUUUGGUAAGUUAUUGACGAUCCAAGGUUAUGUUCGUUCAGUUUCACAAGUGUUCAGUGUUUCUAGGGGGUUUGAAACACUAUGAUAUCAUCUUGUGUUGUUGGUACAAGCCACGAGAGUAGUACCAAAUCGAGGCAAACUAUGAAUACUAUAUUUCCCCAAUAAAAGGGGUAAAGGUCAGCUAGUGAGACGAUGGGGGAUAAGCUUCAUUGUCGAGAGGAAAAUAGUCCAGAUCAUCAGCUAAUGCCCCUAAAUAACCGCUCAGUGAUGAAGGAAGUAUGAGUGCAAAGACAUCCAGGAGGUUUUCCUAGAAGCAUCCGACCUUGAAAGAGUGCGUAAUAGCUCACUGAUCAAGUGCUCUUGCGCCAAAGAUGAAUGGGACUAAGCGAUCUGUUGAAGCUGUGGGAUGUAAAAAUACAUCAGUAGGGGAGCGUUCUGCCUCAGAGGGAAGCACCGGUGUGAGCAGGUGUGGACAAAGAAGAAGCGAGAAUGUCAGCUUGAGUAACGCAAACAUUGGUGAGAAUCCAAUGCCCCGAAAACCUAAGGGUUCCUCCACAAGGUUCGUCCAAGGAGGGUGAGUCAGGGCCUAAUAUUAGGCCGAAAUCCGUAGUCGAUGGACAAUAGGUUAAUAUUCCUUUACUAUCCCUUGUUGGUCUUGAGGGAUGGAGGAGGCUAGUUUAGCCGAAAGAUGGUUAUCGGUUCAAGGAUGCAAGGUGACCCUCUAUACAUUGAUUCAAAGGUAAAAGAAGAAUCAAAUAUAGGUGUGUACAAGGUGAGGUUGGGGGUGGAUAUUCCUCAUCAUCUACUCUAGCACACAAAAAUCCAAGAUGGCUUAUCCAAACAUUAUAGGAUGCACAAAAUCAUGUAGGAGCGCCCAUAUCAUCAAUGAGGGUGAGUAUAC